GGUUCGAUGGCGUAGUUGGUUAUCGCAUCUGUCUAACACUCGCCCACAGAAGGUCCCCGGUUCGAGCCCGGGUCGAAUCA